rnacentral:rRNA from 1 species
AACGAACGCUGGCGGCAGGCCUAAAACAUGCAAGUCGAACGCCCCGCAAGGGGAGUGGCGCACGGGUGAGUAACGCGUGGGAAUGUGCCCCUUAGUACGGGACAACGUCGGGAAACUGACGCUAAUACCGUAUAAUAUCUCAGGAUCAAAGAUUUAUCGCUAUUGGAGGGGCUUGCGGGGUAUUCGCUAGUUGGUGAGGUAAUGGCUCACCAAGGCUACGAUACCUAACCGGUCUGAGAGGAUGAUCGGUCACACUGGGACUGAGACACGGCCCAGACUCCUACGGGAGGCAGCAGUGGGGAAUUUUGGACAAUGGGCGAAAGCCUGAUCCAGCCAUGCCGCGUGAGUGAAGAAGGCCUUCGGGUUGGUAAGGUACUCUUUCUAGACGG